rnacentral:rRNA from 1 species
CUCCGGUUGAUCUGCCCGGACCUGACUGCUAUCGGAUUGGUACUAAGCCAUGCGAGUCGUUGUAGCAAUACAAGGCGGACGGCUCAGUAACACGUAGUCAACCUAACCUAUGGACGUGGAUAACCUCGGGAAACUGAGAAUAAACCGCGAUAGAUCAUUAUGCCUGGAAUGGCUUAUGGUUCAAACAAUUUAUUGCCGUAGGAUGGGACUGCGGCCUAUCAGCUUGUUGGUGAGGUAAUGGCCCACCAAGGCUAUAACAGGUACGGGCUCUGAGAGGAGAAGCCCGGAGAUGGGUACUGAGACACGGACCCAGGCCCUAUGGGGCGCAGCAGGCGAGAAACCUUAGCAAUGUGCGAAAGCACGACUAGGUUAAUCCGAGUGAUUUCUGUUGAAGAAAUCUUUUGUCAGUCGUAAAACCACAGACGAAUAAGGGGUGGGCAAGUCUGGUGUCAGCCGCCGCGGUAAUACCAGCACCUCGAGUGGUCAGGAGGUUUAUUGGGCCUAAAGCAUCCGUAGCCGGCUACGCAAGUCUCCGGUUAAAUCCAGCUGCUCAACAGAUGGGCUGCCGGAGAUACUACAUAGCUAGGGGGCGGGAGAGGUAGACGGUAUUCUGUGGGUAGGGGUAAAAUCCACUGAUCCAUAGAGGACCACCAGUGGCGAAGGCGGUCUACCAGAACGCGUUCGACGGUGAGGGAUGAAAGCUGGGGGAGCAAACCGGAUUAGAUACCCGGGUAGUCCCAGCUGUAAACGAUGCAAACUCGGUGAUGCAUUGGCUUAUGGCCAAUGCAGUGCCGCAGGGAAGCCGUUAAGUUUGCCGCCUGGGAAGUACGGACGCAAGUCUGAAACUUAAAGGAAUUGGCGGGGGAGCA